ensembl:lncRNA LINC01076 long intergenic non-protein coding RNA 1076
ACAGUUAAGGAAUCUGAAGAUGAAAAAGAUGAGGGGACAUUCCCAAAGUCGCACAGCCCUCAAGCCAGUGCGAAAAUGUGGACCCCGCUGCCUUGUCUGGUGCCCAUUUCUGGAGAGAGAAAAGCACCGCUGGGUCGUGGGGGAGACUGGCCGGUGGCAGCUUCUGGCAUCUCACCUGUCUCUGCACGGGUUAAGAAUCUCCCUUGUUGUGGAUUUCAGACCUUGAGUGUACAGCUCCCCAUCUGGACUCUCGUGAAGGUCGUGGUAAACAACACACAGAGCAUCUCUUUGUCACGGGCUCA